rnacentral:rRNA from 1 species
UGGGGAAUUUUGGACAAUGGGCGAAAGCCUGAUCCAGCAAUGCCGCGUGUGUGAAGAAGGCCUUCGGGUUGUAAAGCACUUUUGUCCGGAAAGAAAUCCUUGGCUCUAAUACAGUCGGGGGAUGACGGUACCGGAAGAAUAAGCACCGGCUAACUACGUGCCAGCAGCCGCGGUAAUACGUAGGGUGCAAGCGUUAAUCGGAAUUACUGGGCGUAAAGCGUGCGCAGGCGGUUUGCUAAGACCGAUGUGAAAUCCCCGGGCUCAACCUGGGAACUGCAUUGGUGACUGGCAGGCUAGAGUAUGACAGAGGGGGGUAGAAUUCCACGUGUAGCAGUGAAAUGCGUAGAGAUGUGGAGGAAUACCGAUGGCGAAGGCAGCCCCCUGGGCCAAUACUGACGCUCAUGCACGAAAGCGUGGGGAGCAAACAGGAUUAGAUACCCUGGUAGUCCACGCCCUAAACGAUGUCAACUAGCUGUUGGGGUUUAUUAACCUUAGUAGCGCAGCUAACGCGCGAAGUUGACCGCCUGGGGAGUACGGUCGCAAGAUUAAAACUCAAAUGAAUUGACGGGGUCAUAGCU